CUGGACUUGAGCAGGUACCAGAAACCACACAACUGGAAGCUACUGGAUUUGAGCAGGUACCAGAAACCACACAACUGGAAACUACUGGAUUUGAGCAGGUACCAGAAUCCACACAACUAGAAACUACUGGAUUUGAGCAGGUACCAGAAACCACACAACUGGAAACUACUGGAUUUGAGCAGGUACCAGAAUCCACACAACUAGAAACUACUGGAUUUGAGCAGGUACCAGAAUCCACACAACUAGAAACUACUGGAUUUGAGCAGGUACCAGAAACCACACAACUGGAAACUUCUGGACUUGAAACCACACAACUGGAAACUAAUGGACUUGAGCAGGCAGUAGAAUCCACACAACUGGAAACUAAUGGACUUGA
ensembl:lncRNA